ACGAACGCUGGCGGCGUGGAUAAGACAUGCAAGUCGAACGAGAGAAUUGCUAGCUUGCUAAUAAUUCUCUAGUGGCGCACGGGUGAGUAACACGUGAGUAACCUGCCCCCGAGAGCGGGAUAGCCCUGGGAAACUGGGAUUAAUACCGCAUAGUAUCGAAAGAUUAAAGCAGCAAUGCGCUUGGGGAUGGGCUCGCGGCCUAUUAGUUAGUUGGUGAGGUAACGGCUCACCAAGGCGAUGACGGGUAGCCGGUCUGAGAGGAUGUCCGGCCACACUGGAACUGAGACACGGUCCAGACACCUACGGGUGGCAGCAGUCGAGAAUCAUUCACAAUGGGGGAAACCCUGAUGGUGCGACGCCGCGUGGGGGAAUGAAGGUCUUCGGAUUGUAAACCCCUGUCAUGUGGGAGCAAAUUAAAAAGAUAGUACCACAAGAGGAAGAGACGGCUAACUCUGUGCCAGCAGCCGCGGUAAUACAGAGGUCUCAAGCGUUGUUCGGAAUCACUGGGCGUAAAGCGUGCGUAGGCUGUUUCGUAAGUCGUGUGUGAAAGGCGCGGGCUCAACCCGCGGACGGCACAUGAUACUGCGAGACUAGAGUAAUGGAGGGGGAACCGGAAUUCUCGGUGUAGCAGUGAAAUGCGUAGAUAUCGAGAGGAACACUCGUGGCGAAGGCGGGUUCCUGGACAUUAACUGACGCUGAGGCACGAAGGCCAGGGGAGCGAAAGGGAUUAGAUACCCCUGUAGUCCUGGCAGUAAACGGUGCACGCUUGGUGUGCGGGGAAUCGACCCCCUGCGUGCCGGAGCUAACGCGUUAAGCGUGCCGCCUGGGGAGUACGGUCGCAAGAUUAAAACUCAAAGAAAUUGACGGGGACCCGCACAAGCGGUGGGGUAUGUGGCUUAAUUCGAUGCAACGCGAAGAACCUUACCUGGGCUUGACAUGUAAUGAACAACAUGUGAAAGCAUGCGACUCUUCGGAGGCGUUACACAGGUGCUGCAUGGCCGUCGUCAGCUCGUGUCGUGAGAUGUUUGGUUAAGUCCAGCAACGAGCGCAACCCCUGUUGCCAGUUACCAGCACGUGAAGGUGGGGACUCUGGCGAGACUGCCCAGAUCAACUGGGAGGAAGGUGGGGACGACGUCAGGUCAGUAUGGCCCUUAUGCCCAGGGCUGCACACGUACUACAAUGCCCAGUACAGAGGGGGCCGAAGCCGCGAGGCGGAGGAAAUCCUAAAAACUGGGCCCAGUUCGGACUGUAGGCUGCAACCCGCCUACACGAAGCCGGAAUCGCUAGUAAUGGCGCAUCAGCUACGGCGCCGUGAAUACGUUCCCGGGUCUUGUACACACCGCCCGUCACAUCAUGGAAGCCGGUCGCACCCGAAGUAUCUGAAGCCAACCGCAAGGAGGCAGGGUCCUAAGGUGAGACUGGUAACUGGGAUG
rnacentral:rRNA from 1 species